AACGAACGCUGGCGGCAUGCCUAACACAUGCAAGUCGAACGAGACCUUCGGGUCUAGUGGCGCACGGGUGCGUAACGCGUGGGAACCUGCCCUUAGGUUCGGAAUAACUCCCCGAAAGGGGUGCUAAUACCGGAUAAUGUCUUCGGACCAAAGAUUUAUCGCCUUUGGAUGGGCCCGCGUUGGAUUAGCUAGUUGGUAGGGUAAAAGCCUACCAAGGGGACGAUCCAUAGCUGGUCUGAGAGGAUGAGCAGCCACACUGGGACUGAGACACGGCCCAGACUCCUACGGGAGGCAGCAGUGGGGAAUAUUGGACAAUGGGCGAAAGCCUGAUCCAGCAAUGCCGCGUGAGUGAUGAAGGCCUUAGGGUUGUAAAGCUCUUUUACCCGGGAUGAUAAUGACAGUACCGGGAGAAUAAGCUCCGGCUAACUCCGUG
rnacentral:rRNA from 1 species